GACGAACGUUGGCGGCGUGCUUAAUACAUGCAAGUCAACUGAAGCAGUGGUAGCAAUAUCGCUGUGGAGGUGGCGCACGGGUGAGUAACACGUAGGUAAUCUGCCUUCAGGUCUGGCAUAACUCCGGGAAACCGGGGCUAAUAGCAGAUGAUGCAGCGGCUCGACAUCGAGACAGUUGUUAAAGCUAUGGCGCCUGAAGAUGAGCCUGCGUCUGAUUAGCUAGUUGGCGGGGUAACGGCCCACCAAGGCAACGAUCAGUAGCUGGUCUGAGAGGAUGAUCAGCCACACUGGAACUGAGACACGGUCCAGACUCCUACGGGAGGCAGCAGUAAGGAAGAUUGCUCAAUGGGAGAAAUCCUGAAGCAGCAACGCCGCGUGAGGGACGAAGGGCUUUUGCUUGUAAACCUCUGUAGUGAGAGAAUAAAAUCCCAAUCUUUGGGACAUGAUGGUAUCUCAAAAGUAAGCCCCGGCUAACUACGUG
rnacentral:rRNA from 1 species